CUUGAAAAAAAGGUUGGACGAAAUGCUAACUAGAAUAACCAGCUUAGAGAAGAACACAAAUGACUUGAUGGAGGUGAAAAACACAGCACAAGAACUUCACAAGGCAUACACAAAUUUCAGCAGCCUAAUCUAACAAGCAGAAGAAAGGACAUCAGAGAUAGAAGAUCAAAUCAAUGAAAUAAGACAAAGGCAAGAUUAGAGAAAAAAG